rnacentral:rRNA from 1 species
AGUGAACGCUGGCGGUAGGCCUAACACAUGCAAGUCGAACGGCAGCACAGUAAGAGCUUGCUCUUACGGGUGGCGAGUGGCGGACGGGUGAGGAAUACAUCGGAAUCUACUUUUUCGUGGGGGAUAACGUAGGGAAACUUCCGCUACUACCGCAUAUGAUCUACGGGUGAAAGCAGGGGAUCUUCGGACCUUUCGCGAUUGAAUGAGCCGAUGUCGGAUUAGCUAGUUGGCGGGGUAAAGGCACACCAAGGCGACGAUCCGUAGCUGGUCUGAGAGGAUGAUCAGCCACACUGGAACUGAGACACGGUCCAGACUCCUACGGGAGGCAGCAGUGGGGAAUAUUGGACAAUGGGCGCAAGCCUGAUCCAGCCAUACCGCGUGGGUGAAGAAGGCCUUCGGGUUGUAAAGCCCUGUUGUUGGGAAAGAAAAGCAGCAGGUUAAUACCCCGCUGUUCUGACGGUACCCAAAGAAUAAGCACCGGCUAACUUCGUG